rnacentral:tRNA from 1 species
GAGGGCUUAGCUUAAUUAAAGCGGUUGAUUUGCGUUCAAUUGAUGCAUGGUAGAUUUUUGCAGUCCUUA